ACGGUAACAGAGAGCAGCUUGCUGCUCUGCUGACGAGUGGCGGACGGGUGAGUAAUGUCUGGGAAACUGCCUGAUGGAGGGGGAUAACUACUGGAAACGGUAGCUAAUACCGCAUAACGUCUUCGGACCAAAGUGGGGGACCUUCGGGCCUCAUGCCAUCAGAUGUGCCCAGAUGGGAUUAGCUAGUAGGUGGGGUAACGGCUCACCUAGGCGACGAUCCCUAGCUGGUCUGAGAGGAUGACCAGCCACACUGGAACUGAGACACGGUCCAGACUCCUACGGGAGGCAGCAGUGGGGAAUAUUGCACAAUGGGCGCAAGCCUGAUGCAGCCAUGCCGCGUGUAUGAAGAAGGCCUUCGGGUUGUAAAGUACUUUCAGCGGGGAGGAAGGCGGUGAGGUUAAUAACCUUAUCGAUUGACGUUACCCGCAGAAGAAGCACCGGCUAACUCCGUGCCAGCAGCCGCGGUAAUACGGAGGGUGCAAGCGUUAAUCGGAAUUACUGGGCGUAAAGCGCACGCAGGCGGUCUGUUAAGUCAGAUGUGAAAUCCCCGGGCUCAACCUGGGAACUGCAUUUGAAACUGGCAGGCUUGAGUCUCGUAGAGGGGGGUAGAAUUCCAGGUGUAGCGGUGAAAUGCGUAGAGAUCUGGAGGAAUACCGGUGGGCGAAGGCGGCCCCCUGGACGAAGACUGACGCUCACGUGCGAAAGCGUGGGGGAGCAAACAGGAUUAGAUACCCUGGUAGUCCACGCCGUAAACGAUGUCGACUUGGAGGUUGUGCCCUUGAGGCGUGGCUUCCGGGAGCUAACGCGUUAAGUCGACCGCCUGGGGAGUACAGCCCGCAAGGUUAAAACUCAAAUGAAAUUGACGGGGCCCGC
rnacentral:rRNA from 1 species